UCGGACUAAUACCGCAUGAAGCAGGGGCCCCGCAUGGGGAUAUUUGCUAAAGAUUCAUCGCUGAUAGAUAGGCAUGCGUUCCAUUAGGCAGUUGGCGGGGUAACGGCCCACCAAACCGACGAUGGAUAGGGGUUCUGAGAGGAAGGUCCCCCACAUUGGUACUGAGACACGGACCAAACUCCUACGGGAGGCAGCAUG
rnacentral:rRNA from 1 species